GGACUACCGGGGUAUCUAAUCCCGUUUGCUCCCCUAGCUUUCGCACCUCAGCGUCAGGAUUGGACCAGAGAGCCGCCUUCGCCACCGGUGUUCCUCUUGAUAUCUACGCAUUUCACCGCUCCACCAAGAGUUCCGCUCUCCCCUACCAACCUCGAGCACCGCAGUCUGCCAAGCAGUUCCACGGGUAAGCCGUGGGAUUUCACUCCACACUUGCGGUGCCGCCUACGUGCGCUUUAUGCCCAGUGAUUCCGAACAACGUUCGCACCCUCUGUAUUACCGCGGCUGCUGGCAC
rnacentral:rRNA from 2 species